GACGAACGCUGGCGGCGUGCCAAAUACAUGCAAGUCGAACGCUUUUUCUUUCACCGGAGCUUGCUCCAUCGAAAGAAAAAGAGUGGCGAACGGGUGAGUAACACGUGGGUAACCUGCCCAUCAGAAGGGGAUAACACUUGGAAACAGGUGCUAAUACCGUAUAACACUAUUUUCCGCAUGGAAGAAAGUUGAAAGGCGCUUUUGCGUCACUGAUGGAUGGACCCGCGGUGCAUUAACUAGUUGGUGAGGUAACGGCUCACCAAGGCAACGAUGCGAAGCCGACCUGAGAGGGUGAUCGGCCACACUGGGACUGAGACACGGCCCAGACUCCUACGGGAGGCAGCAGUAGGGAAUCUUCGGCAAUGGACGAAAGUCUGACCGAGCAACGCCGCGUGAGUGAAGAAGGUUUUCGGAUCGUAAAACUCUGUUGUUAGAGAAGAACAAGGAUGAGAGUAAAAUGUUCAUCCCUUGACGGUAUCUAACCAGAAAGCCACGGCUAACUACGUGCCAGCCGCCGCCGUAA
rnacentral:rRNA from 1 species